GAUGAACGCUGGCGGCGUGCUUAACACAUGCAAGUCGAACGAUUAAGACGGCUUCGGCCGUGUAUAGAGUGGCGAACGGGUGAGUAACACGUGACCAACCUGCCCCGCGCUCCGGGACAACCGCUGGAAACGGCGGCUAAUACCGGAUGCUCCGGGGAGGCCCCAUGGCCUCCCCGGGAAAGCCCUGACGGCGCGGGAUGGGGUCGCGGCCCAUUAGGUAGACGGCGGGGUAACGGCCCACCGUGCCCGCGAUGGGUAGCCGGACUGAGAGGUCGACCGGCCACAUUGGGACUGAGAUACGGCCCAGACUCCUACGGGAGGCAGCAGUGGGGAAUUUUGCGCAAUGGGGGGAACCCUGACGCAGCAACGCCGCGUGCGGGACGAAGGCCUUCGGGUUGUAAACCGCUUUCAGCAGGAAAGACAUAGACGGUAC
rnacentral:rRNA from 1 species